CUACGGGGUGCUGCAGUGGGGAAUAUUGCACAAUGGGCGAAAGCCUGAUGCGGCCAUGCCGCGUGUGUGAAGAAGGCCUUCGGGUUGUAAAGCACUUUCAGUAAGGAGGAAAAGUUAGUAGUUAAUACCUGCUAACCCUGACGUUACUUACAGAAGAAGCACCGGCUAACUCCGUGCCAGCAGCCGCGGUAAUACGGAGGGCGCAAGCGUUAAUCGGAAUUACUGGGCGUAAGGCGCGCGUAGGCGGCUUACUAAGCCAGAUGUGAAAGCCCCGGGCUCAACCUGGGAACUGCAUUUGGAACUGGUUCGCUAGAGUACAGUAGAGGGUGGUGGAAUUUCCAGUGUAGCGGUGAAAUGCGUAGAGAUUGGAAGGAACAUCAGUGGCGAAGGCGGCCACCUGGACUGAUACUGACGCUGAGGUGCGAAAGCGUGGGGAGCAAACAGGAUUAGAUACCCGUGUAGUC
rnacentral:rRNA from 1 species